rnacentral:rRNA from 1 species
GACGAACGCUGGCGGCGUGCCUAAUACAUGCAAGUCGAACGCAGUGGGGACGGGUUAGUAACACGUGCGCAACCCGCCAUUAGAGGGGAUAACACUUGGAAAUAGGUGCUAAACCGUUACUGACGGAUUGACCCGGGGUGCAUUAGCUAGUUGGUGAGGUAACGGCUCACCAAGGCCACGAUGCAUAGCGGACCUGAGAGGGGGCUGGGCCACACUGGGACGGAGACACGGCCCAGACUCCUACGGGAGGCAGCAGUAGGGAAUCUUCGGCAAUGAACGAAGGUCUGACCGAGCAACGCCGCGUGAGUAAAGAAGGUUUUCGGAUCGAAAGACUCUUUUGUAGGAGAAGCGGUAUCUAACCAGAAAGCCACGGCUAACUACGUGCCAGCAGCCGCGGUAAUAC